rnacentral:rRNA from 1 species
CCUACGGGAGGCAGCAGUGAGGAAUAUUGGUCAAUGGGCGGGAGCCUGAACCAGCCAAGCCGCGUGAAGGAAGAAGGCGCCAGGCGUCGUAAACUUCUUUUGUCGGGGAACAAAGGGCGCCACGUGUGGCGUUGUGAGUGUACCCGAAGAAAAAGCAUCGGCUAACUCCGUGCCAGCAGCCGCGGUAAUACGGAGGAUGCGAGCGUUAUCCGGAUUUAUUGGGUUUAAAGGGAGCGUAGAUGGGUUGUUAAGUCAGUUGUGAAAGUUUGCGGCUCAACCGUAAAAUUGCAAUUGAUACUGGCAGUCUUGAGUACAGUUGAGGUAGGCGGAAUUCGUGGUGUAGCGGUGAAAUGCUUAGAUAUCACGAAGAACUCCGAUUGCGAAGGCAGCUUACUAAACUGCCACUGACAUUGAUGCUCGAAAGUGUGGGUAUCAAACAGGAUUAGAUACCCUUGUAGUC